rnacentral:tRNA from 1 species
UGUGGCAGAAUAGUGCGGUGGACUUAAACCCCAUAAAUAGAGUGCAACUUUCUUUAGAA